GUUCGAUUAUGGCUCAGAUUGAACGCUGGCGGGAUGCUUUAUGCAAGUCGAACGGCAGCACGGACUUCGGUCUGGUGGCGAGUGGCGAACGGGUGGUAAUGUAUCGGAACGUGCCUAGUAGCAGGGGAUAACUACAUGAAAGCAGCCAAUAAUACCGCAUACGCCCUUCAGGGAAAGCAGGGGACCUUCCCGGGCCUCGCACUAUUAGAGCGGCCGAUAUCGGAUUAGCUAGUUGGUGGGGUAACGGCUCACCAGGCGACGAUCCGUAGCUGGUUUGAAGGACGACCAGCCACACUGGGACUGAGACACGGCCCAGACUCACCGGGAGGCAGCAGUGAAAUUUUGGACAAUGGGAAACACGAUCCAGCCAUCCCGCGUGCGAUGAAGGCCUUCGGGUUAUAAAGCACUUUUGGCAGGAAGAAACGGCACGGGAUAAUACCCCGUGCAACUGACGGUACCUGCAGAAUAAGCACCGGCUAACUACGUGCCAGCAGCCGCGGUAAUACGUAGGGUGCAAGCUAAUCAGAAUUACUGGGCGUAAAGCGUGCGCAGGCGGUUCGGAAAGAAAGAUGUAAAAAUCCCAGAGCUUAACUUUGGAACUGCAUUUUAGCUUACCGAGCUAAAUUAUUGUCAGGAGGUGGAAUUCCAUAGCAGUGAAAUGCGUAGAUAUGCGGAGGAACACCGAUGGCGAAGGCAGCCUCUGGGAUAACACUGACGCUCAUGCACGAAAGCGUGGGAGCAAACGGGAUUAGAUACCCUGGUAGUCCACGCCCUAAACGAUGUCAACUAGCUGUUGGGGCGCUUCGGGCCUUGGUAGCGCAACUAACGCGUGAAGUUGACCGCCUGGGGAAAUACGGUCGCAAGAUUAAAACUCAAAGGAAUUGACGGGGACCCGCACAAGCGGUGGAUGAUGUGGAUUAAUUCGAUGCAACGCGAAAAGCCUUACCUACCCUUGACAUGUCACCGUCCCGAAGAGAUUUGGGAGUGCUCGCAAGAGAACCGGAACACAGGUGCUGCAUGGCGCAAUAGUCAGCUCGUGUCGUGAGAUGUUGGGUUAAGUCCCGCAACGAGCGCAACCCUUGUCAUUGGUUACUACGAAAGGGCACUCUAUUAAGGACUGCCGGUGACAAACCGGAGGAAGGUGGGGAUGACGUCAAGUCCUCAUGGCCCUUAUGGGUAGGGCUUCACACACGUCAUACAAUGGUCGGGACAGAGGGUCGCCAACCCGCGAGAAGGCGGAAACCCGAUCGUAGUCCGGAUCGCAGUCUGCAACUCGACUGCGUGAAGUCAGAAUCGCUGGUAAUCGCGGAUCAGCAUGUCGCGGUGAAUACGUUUCAGGUCUUGUACACACCGCCCGUCACACCAUGGGAGUGGGUUUUACCAGAAGUAGUUAGCUAACCGUAAGGAGAGGCGAUUACUACGGUAGGAUUCAUGACUGGGUAAGUCAGUAACAAGGUAG
rnacentral:rRNA from 1 species